rnacentral:rRNA from 1 species
UGGGGAAUAUUGGACAAUGCGGGAAACCGUGAUCCAGCAAUGCCGCGUGAGUGAUGAAGGCCUUAGGGUUGUAAAGCUCUUUUACCAGGGAUGAUAAUGACAGUACCUGGAGAAUAAGCUCCGGCUAACUCCGUGCCAGCAGCCGCGGUAAUACGGAGGGAGCUAGCGUUGUUCGGAAUUACUGGGCGUAAAGCGCGCGUAGGCGGCUAUCCAAGUCAGGGGUGAAAUCCCGGGGCUCAACCCCGGAACUGCCCUUGAAACUAGGUAGCUAGAAUACUGGAGAGGUGAGUGGAAUUCCGAGUGUAGAGGUGAAAUUCGUAGAUAUUCGGAAGAACACCAGUGGCGAAGGCGACUCACUGGACAGUUAUUGACGCUGAGGUGCGAAAGCGUGGGGAGCAAACAGGAUUAGAUACCCCCGUAGUCC